CAGGGUUUAAGGUUUAGAGUAUAUGAUUUAAGGUUUAAGAAUUAAGAUUUAGGGUUUAAUUUUUUGUUGAUAACGUUAAAAAUAUUAUUUUUUUUAAAUUCUUUUUCUGUAACUACUAUGUUUUUUUUUACUUAAAAAAAAAACAUAAUAUAAUUUGACAAUAUUUUGUUUUCUUUUUAAAAGAUAUCAAAUUUAAAAUAAUGAAAUCCUAUUAGUUGAUGAACCCAAGAGUAACUUUUUGUUAUGUUCAAAUUGCAUGAUCACGACGAAACAAAAAUG
rnacentral:lncRNA from 1 species